UCUCCCACUAAAGUGCUAAACAACUUAUGUAGUCUUUAUUGAAAUCAAUACUCUCGAUCAAGGUUCAUUCCACCUUUCUUAUGCCACCUCUCGUUCAUCUUCUUCUUCUACUAUCUUUCUUCCGUUCCUAAUAUCCCUCUUUCUGUCCCUCUCUCUCUCUCUCUCCAAAUCUCCCCCAAAUUUUCGAUCUUUGGCCCUAAAACUUCGACCUAUAUAUCUUGAAUCAACCAUGGAUCUGGCCCCGAAAGAACUUCAAUUUCUCUAAAUCCCAUACAUUCUCCGAGAAUCGACCUCUCCCCCUAAACAGUCCCCCAAGACCUUCUACCUCAUAACCCUAACCCCCAAUCCUAGCCCAUUCUCUCUGAAGGUAGUGUUCAGUUGGAGGUUUUUCCCUGGAGGUUUAGCAAUGGCGUAUUCGAUAUCAUCAAUCUGCAAUCUAUGGUUUCUCGACACACUCACUCACUCUCUCUCUCUCUCUCGUGAAACCUUUCUCUCAGUCUUCCAUCUGGUUCACUCCACUUUCUUCCCCGAUAUACCGACCCAAAUCCCCACAUCUCCUCCACCUGGGUUCACUCAUGUUUUACUUUACCGAUGGAUUCUGAUUCUCUGACCACCACAUCGCUCUAUCCAAUAGGGAAUGAAUCCCUUUUUUUUUUUUCCUUUCUAUUGAAGCUGAUCGAAUUCCAGGUAUCGAUUAGCAAUGGCGGUGAAGCACGGGCUCCACCGAAACAGAGCCGCCAGAUCUCAUUCCCUACUGCGGUAUUUAUAUUCGUUUUGUUGUUUGGUUGAUUUUCUUCGUCGGCCAUGGCCUCUACAGCUCCGUUGGGGGAAAAAUUACCUUACUUGCUUGCAAUUGCUCUCUUCUUUGCUUUAGAGAAGCAAAAAGAGUGAAAAUUGAACGUCCUCUUGUCAAGAUUAUCUGAAAAUCAGGAAUGCUACUUUUCUUUCUUUUCUUUUUUUUUUGGCUUUUUGAGCUGUGAGCAAUGCACAUUUAUUACAAACUUUGCAAGUGUGUUUUGUGUUUUAAGAUAGUGAGUAUAUGAGUGCACAUUGCAGUAUUAGGAUAGACAGUUUAGCUUUGUCUCGGUACUUAGAUGGUCAAGUUUUAAGCAGAUUUUGGUGAUUGACAACAAAUUGUGGUUGUAUCGACAACUAUAUAUAUAUAUAUAUAUAUAUAUAUGCCUCUGCUUCUAGCCCACAUUGAGGUCUUAUUAUGUUCUUGAUUAUGCAUACCGUGAAACUUUUUCUUGACAGCUUUCACUUUCACCAGAAGUAAGUGUAACUCGUAUUAUCUUGGUAAUGUAGUUUUUAGCAUGUCUUUUUCAUACCUACUAGUUUUUAGCAUUUGGAAGGUAUAGCUUUCUACUAAGAUAUCAUUUAAUUAAGUAUGUAGACUCUGUUUUGCAAUUUUUUUUAACAGAUGUUUUAACUAAAUCAACUCACAAUUUGAGCUUCUUGUUGGAUUUCAAUGCAAUGGUUCAGGGAAGGGCACACAAGGAGCGAUCUACUGAUCUAGGUUUGAUUGUCAAGUAUCCAUGUCUACAGAUAUAUUUAGAUUCCAGUAUGGUUAUUAGAGUUCCUACCAGUAAGGUUACUAGAGUUCUGAUUCAUGGGCGUGAAUUCUUAUUCUAUAUGUCUUUUAUUUCUUUGUUUUGGUAGCCUAGUGUAAUUAAAGACACAUUGAAUGGUUUAUAUGCUUCGUGAUUUAGUAUUGUGAUUUAUUCCUGGAUAUGAAAGAUUUGUUGAUUGAUAGUUUGGAUUUGUUAGACGUAAUGAUUUUCAAAUGGUCAUGCUAAAACAAAGUAGAACUGCAGGAUAUACAGUUGCCACUUUUAGUUUUCUCUUUCUUAUUGGGAUGAAUAAGUGACCAUGCCUGGUUGCUUUUGUCUCUGACUGCUUAUAAUUCCAAUCUGAAACAGCUAUGCAUGGGUUUUCUGCAGAAUGCAUGUUAGCUAAUCUUUGAUUUGUGGCUGAAGAUAUAAUAGGUUUGGAUGCACCAGCCCUUCAGUACCAGCCCUUCAAUUUUAUAUACACUAUUAAGAAAAUAUAUAAUAUAUCUUCUUCUGCUCACUUUGCUUCCUCUUUGCAGACUAGUUAAUUAGGUGAGACCUGCUCCUCAAAUCUCAAAGCACACUAUAGCUUAGAUUCAUACUGGCUUCCUUCCGAUCUACUUCAUGCCCUCCUUCCUCUAUUUCAUGCUGUUUUUCAUAGAGCUAGCUUAAAAUAAAGUGCUCUAUACUUUUCUAGUUUUGAAGUUCUAAAUAUUCAUAUACCUAAGCUAUAACAGCACUAGAGAUUUGAAGAUUGUACUUUGUUUCUUGAAAAGUCUUUAAUCUUAGAUCCUUUAUUUUGCUUAUUCUGGACCUGAAAAGGGUAAUCUGUCAGCUUUCUGCUAUAGAUAUUUUUGUUCAAUCAUACAAAGAAAGCUUGCUCUCCUCUCAAAUUUAGCUUAAUUGUUUUUUGUUCUUGCUACUUAGGCUUUUGUGGUUCUUCAUGGAGUUGAAAAACAUACUUGAAGAUCAAAUGGCUACUCCUUUGUGGUUCUUCAGAUUCCCACCACCAUUGAUUGUGGUUCUUGCUCCAUUGCUUAUAUUGGUGGGUUUGAUACUGGGCUUUGGUUUCUACUCCAUCUUCCUAACAUCUAUAACAUUGAUAUUCUCAACUCUUUUCUUCACAUGUUCCAAGCAAAAACCUGUUCUGCUUGAGAGAUUAGUUGAAGAAAAAGUUGUUCUUAAGUCUGAUAAUGAAAGUGCUUCUAUACAAGACAAGGAAGUUCAAGAAGCAAGUAAGAACAAUGAGGCUCCCAAAUACUUGGUAGCGGCACAAAGUUCAACACCAGAUUUGGUAGUAGAAAGUGCAUGCCUUGAUGACUUAUCAACUAGUGAGGAGUCUGAAGUACUAGACUGGCCAUUUGGAGACAAUGUGGAUCGGAGUCCAGAUUGCUCAGACGGUUCAAUCUCUGACGAGAAAAGCCUCAUCGAAAUAUCCCUCCCCGACGGAUAUUAUGUUGGCCAUGACAAGGAAGAAGAGUCCAUCUUUAGUCUGCAACAGAAAAUGUCAGGUUUGUCACAGAAGGCCAUUUUCCAACAGCAUACUUUAUUUGAGUUCUUAGCUGAGAUCAAUGAGGAAGAAAAUAUGAUUGAAAUUGACAUAUCCAUGGGCUCAAUCAAGUGCUCAAGGUUUGAGAUUGAAGCUUGAUUAAAGAGUUCAAGGGUGAUGCUGAUGGGUAUGAUUUAGUUGUUGUUGAUGCCAUGCAUAAAGCAACCUGUGCAAGUAGAAUUUGUCACUCGUGCCGACCUAAUUGUGAAGCAAAAGUUACUGCUGUAGAUGAUCGUUACCAGAUUGGAAUCUACACUGUACGUAAGAUUCAAUACGGUGAAGAGAUCACAUUGGACUACAACUCUAUUAAGGAGAGUAAGGAAGAAUAUGAAGCAUCAGAUUGUUUGUGCGGCAGUCAAGUUUGCCGGGGAGGUUACCUGAAUUUGAUAGGCGAAGGAUCAUUCUUGGAGGAUCGAACAUAUGCUGCAUAUGCUGCACAAGAUGGAAAUUGGAUUGCUCGUAUUGCAACAUUGCUUGUGGGUGAGGAUCGAACACAGUCUUGUAUAGCUUAUGAAAUUGGAAGGCUUCGUUCAAUGAAAUGUUUAAAUGCUUAUAAAAUUGUAUAUAGUGAAUCGAUUGGAGUUUGAUUUUAUGUAUCUAAGUUACUUUUAGCAUUAAUAUAAAAUUAUUGUUCAUUGG